UACAUUUUCGCUGCGGCGCCGCACGUCCAACUACGUUCCUUAGUACAUUGGUGUCAAUCGAGCAGUGCACACGUGCGGUCGAUUGCCGCAAAGUGAGAUGGCAGCAUCACGUGAAUUUGAAGACAUAUUUGAUGUUGAACUCUUCAUCGCAGAAGUUAAAUGUUAUCCAGAGAUAUGGAACGUAGCCGUUGAAGAAUACCAUGACCGUAAUAAAAAGAGAAGUGCGUGGAUCAACAUAUGCCGUAAAUGUUGCGAAUCGUUUGACGAAAAGGAUGACAAGGAAAAAAACGAAAUAUGUAACAAAUAUGUGAAAAAAUGGAGGAAUAUUAAGGACAACUUUAUGAAAAGCAUGCGGAGGAAGACGAAAUCCGGCCAAGCUGCAGACUCUGGACGACUCUACAUUUAUGCACGGCAGUUGUCUUUUCUGCGUUCCACUACUGGCUACCCCACAGAGACGCAGUCCAGUAUAGGUGGUGAAGAAGAUGAGCAAGGUUAUCCAGACCAACCAGAGGAACGGGACACACCAACAGAAGCCGGGUCAACAGAAACUCUGCGUCGACCACACUACAGAACCGAUGGCAAGCGUCGAAAGCAGGCUCUUGAGUCAGAAAUAAUAAAUUACAUGAAAGCUCCAAUAGAAUGCCCAAGAUCUAUCCAACACGAACAAAAUGCAGAUAGAGCAUUUUUCGAAAGCCUCCUCCCAUCGUUACACGAGUUUACAGAGGAUCAGAAGCUGGAAUUUCGAUGUGAGGUUUUACAAUUAGUAAAACGUAUACGAAUGUCUCGUCCCAGCUCCACAUAGGUUCAGGCAUAUCCAUUGCACACCCGGCCAUUGUCACAACAAUUUGUACCUCCACCACCACCACCAUAUUCUGCAUCCCAACAGCCACCAUUCACGACACUGCCUAUAAUCCCUAUGCAGCAGAAGCUGCACACAGAACUACAAUUAUUCAGAACAUACACUAGGCCCCCUACACUCAUACAAAUAUCUUCCUGCCACAGUAACUUCCAAUACAGACACGGACAAUAUGACGCCGAUUCCCAACACAACUUCACCGGGAACUUCGUAUCCGGGGUCUCCGAAUACUUCUUCCAACAAUUCGUAUUUACAACCACAAGAAGAUGGAAGACUAAAUAUUUUCAACAGUCGCGUAUAACAUUAUGACAAAUGCACUCCUAGCAUUAAGUGUAUGCAAGCAAACUGAGCAGUGUUAAUCCAUUAUAACCUCCGUUACUACGUAUAUGUAUAUUCCCUACUUUUCAUUUCAUUGGGGCCUAUUUUACAAUACUUGUAUGACUGUUUACAACAAUUACAAUAUUUAAACAUA